AACGAACGCUGGCGGCAGGCCUAACACAUGCAAGUCGAACGCUCCAGCAAUGGAGAGUGGCAGACGGGUGAGUAACGCGUGGGAACCUUCCCUAUGGUUCGGAAUAGCUCAGGGAAACUUGAGGUAAUACCGGAUAAGCCCUUCGGGGAAGGAUUUAUCGCCAUUGGAUGGGCCCGCGUAGGAUUAGCUAGUUGGUGAGGUAACGGCUCACCAAGGCGACGAUCCUUAGCUGGUCNGAGAGGAUGAUCAGCCACACUGGGACUGAGACACGGCCCAGACUCCUACGGGAGGCAGCAGUGGGGAAUAUUGGACAAUGGGCGCAAGCCUGAUCCAGCCAUGCCGCGUGAGUGACGAAGGCCUUAGGGUUGUAAAGCUCUUUUGGCGGGGAAGAUAAUGACGGUACCCGCAGAAUAAGCUCCGGCUAACUUCGUGCCAGCAGCCGCCG
rnacentral:rRNA from 1 species